CGCUCAGAUCCCUUUGCCCUUGGCUGUGAAAUGCCCACACAUCCCCAGAUCCGAGCGAGGGUCCAGGCCCCCGACCGGCCGCUUGUUUUGCUCUUCAUUAGAGCGCAGAGGCCCCCCUCCCUCAAGACACGACAACAAGCCUCAUGAUGUUCUCACAGCAUUGCUUAACAGCGCCUCCUGCAGGAUGCACACGGAAUGUGCAGGAUUGGAGGUGACGUCAGCUUUAACGGCCUUGUGUGGUGCAAAGGCUCCUUGUUUCUUUUCUGCAUGUUCUCUACAUCUGUCGCCCUGUCUUCAUUGUUGUUGGUGUAUUUUUCUUGCAUCUGCUCUGUAUUAAUAAUAUUAAUAAAAAUGUUUAAAUGAA